CUUGAAAGAAUCAUUCUAUAUGAUAUGAUAGGAUAGACUCUUCUAUUUUGUAGAACCUUAAGUGAUUUGGAUUUAAACCUAUGGAGAAAGAAGGCAUAUACAGAUGAGAUGUCAGUGUGAAGGCCAUUCCAAGAUUAUUUUAGAGGCUUUCCUUGUUAAUCACCAUGAAACAUUCCAUGAGACCCCAUAAAAUGGCUCCUUUCAUCUCUAUUAUCUACAAAGGCACAGACUAUCUGCAUCUUCUUCGUAGAUGAGCACAUGAGGACACAAAAGAGUAAUUUGAGGUAACCUGGUUGUGAUCAUUAAUUUUAAGUGUCAACUUGACUGGAUUAAGGAAUAACCAAAGAACUGGUAAAGCAUCGUUUCUAUGUGUGACCGUGACGGCAUUUCAAGAAAAGAUAGAACUCCAGACUCUUCGGCCUUAAGACUCUGGAACUUACACCAACAGCCGCCCUGGAUUUCCAAGUCUUCAGCCUGGGGCUGAGAAAUACAGCAUUGGCUUUCCUGGUUCUGAGGCUUUUGGACUUUCACCCUGAUUGCUGUUGACUGCUGGUAAAUGGAACUGCAAAAGAUGAAAUCAUGAAUGAGAGAGGACUACUGUAUAUGUAAUUUGGUAAUUAAAGAGCGAGAGACUACUGCUUCGUAUUGUUAUGAAGGGGAGAGCAGGAGGAUCCAAGAUGUAGUACAGAUGUUUGACACUCAUAGUGAUGAAAGCAGAAAGCAGGUGAAUAAACAGAUAAUGAACUGGUAUCUUGAUAAACAAAAGAUAUAACUAGUUAUCAGAAAAUUGCUUUCUUGAUGUAAGGGCAUGAGGAAACUUAUUCACAGAAAAUAAAAGUCUUUUAGAUGGCUUUAUUGGCUGCAAUGGGGCUGUGAUAUUCAGGGAUAUACAGUGAAAAUAAAUCCAUGAGCUAAGAAGCUUCUUGUUGGCUUAUUCCAACCUUCCUUUAUUCAAUUAUCCACACUUUGAAUUAAUAAAUACUAUGUUUCUGGUCUUGUUCAAGGUGUUGGGGUUUCAUCUAACAGGAAAUGGUGUACUACAACUCAAUUCUUGUGCUGUCUUAGUACGUUCCUGCUGCUAUAAGAAAAUACCUUAAGCUGGGCAAUUUAUAAAGAACAGAAAUUUAUUUCUCAUAGUACCAAAGACUAUGAGUCCAAGAUCUAAGCAUGGGAAGGUUGAGUGUUUGGUGAGAGCUCAGUCUCUGCUUCUGAAAUGGCACUUUGUUGCUGCAUCCUCCAGAGUGGAGGAACACUGUGUUGGUGGAAAGGAUAGAAGAAGUGUGGAAGGGACAGAAGAAGUGUGGAAGGAUGAAGGCUGCAUGAAGCCUUUGGUAUAAGGAUCUUAAUCUAAUUCAUGAAAGAAGAACCCUCUGACCUAAUGUUUUCUUAAAGGCAACACCUCUUAAUAUUAUCACAUUGGUCAACAAGUUUCAACACCUAAGUUUUGGCGGGAUCACAUUCAAAACAUAGAAGAUUCUAACCACCCCCACCCCCCAAAUUUAGCACAUAUCCCACAGAUUAAGGGUUUGGUACUUCACGAGACUGCCCUUGUUUUAGAUGCCAGCCAUCAGUGGAGAGUCCUCGGGUCACCUGCACUUCUCACAAAAUGCCUACAGAUCGGGAAACAGUUGUGGGUAAUGAUUAUACAAUGAUACAAAUGGAUUGUCUGUAUUGCAUAAUUUAAAAUUUUCAAAUAAAGACAUAAGGGAUCAUGAAACAGAAUCCUACUGCAAGAAAAAUUUUAUUGAUUAAAUACUAAACUUGAAGAUAAAUGUUGACAACAGGGAAGAAAAUGUUCAGAAGUUUUUAUUCAUGAUGGGAGUAAGAAAAGGAAGAGAAGAGGGGUAAGAAUUUUAUCUAAAUGGCUCACUUUGUAGAACUUGAAACCAGUCGGAAAUAGGGGAUCUUGGUAGAAAAUAUAGUUCCUUGGUUCUAUAUAAUGAUAAUAAAAUGUGUCUG
rnacentral:lncRNA from 10 species